GGCCGACUAGCUCAGUUGGUUAGUGCGUCGUGCUAAUAACGCGAAGGUCUUGGGUUCGAUCCCCACGUUGGCCA
rnacentral:tRNA from 1 species